rnacentral:misc_RNA from 1 species
GCCUAUUUGAGGAUGAUUUAGAACUAAUUAAUGAUGUAGGUAACUUUCCAUUGGAGGGAAUCAUUAUUCAUGUACUAGGAUUAGUUGACUCUGUUCUUUUGUAGGACUAGGGUACGAGGAACAUAAUUGGAAUAAGACGAGUCACAGGUUUUGUAUCAACCAUCCAAUCCAAAUCCAAAACCAUUGCCUAUUGCUUUCACUUCUACUACUUCUUCUGAUCUCCUUCAGAGUCGUCUAGCACACUUGAGUUUCCCCAAAUCACAAAAUAUGAUUCCAAGUCUUUCCAAACUAUGUUG